CGAGGACGAACGCUGGCGGCGUGCCUAAUACAUGCAAGUCGAACGGUCUUUCUAUGGAAGCUUGCUUCCACUGAGAAGAUAGUGGCGAACGGGUGAGUAACACGUGGGUAGCCUGCCCAUAAGAGGGGGAUAACAUCCGGAAACGGGUGCUAAUACCGCAUAGUUUUCUUGAUCGCAUGAUCGGGAAAGGAAAGACGGCCUUUGUGCUGUCGCUUAUGGAUGGACCCGCGGCGUAUUAGUUAGUUGGUGAGGUAACGGCUCACCAAGACGAUGAUACGUAGCCGACCUGAGAGGGUGAUCGGCCACAUUGGGACUGAGACACGGCCCAAACUCCUACGGGAGGCAGCAGUAGGGAAUCUUCCGCAAUGGACGAAAGUCUGACGGAGCAACGCCGCGUGAGUGAAGAAAGGUUUUCGGAUCGUAAAACUCUGUUGUCAGAGAAGAACAAGUUGGAGAGUAACUGCUCCAGCCUUGACGGUAUCUGACCAGAAAGCCACGGCUAACUACGUGCCAGCAGCCGC
rnacentral:rRNA from 1 species